GACGAACGCUGGCGGCGUGCUUAACACAUGCAAGUCGAACGGAAAGGCCCCUUUGGGGGUCCUCGAGUGGCGAACGGGUGCGUAACACGUGAGUAACCUGCCCUUGACUUCGGGAUAACUUCAGGAAACUGGGGCUAAUACCGGAUAGGAAUCCUUGCUGCAUGGUGGGGGUUGGAAAGCUUCGGCGGUUUUGGAUGGACUCGCGGCUUAUCAGCUUGUUGGUGGGGUAGUGGCUUACCAAGGCUUUGACGGGUAGCCGGCCUGAGAGGGCGACCGGCCACAUUGGGACUGAGAUACGGCCCAGACUCCGACGGGAGGCAGCAGUGGGGAAGAUUGCACAAGGGGCGGAAGCCGGAUGCAGCAACGCCGCGUGCGGGAUGACGGCCUUCGGGUUGUAAACCGCUUUCAGCAGGGGCGAAGCUUGUGGUGACGGUACCUGCAGAAGAAGCACCGGCUAACUACGUG
rnacentral:rRNA from 1 species